rnacentral:lncRNA from 1 species
AUUGACAGCUUUUAACAAGUUAUUAUACUCCUAUGAACAAAAUUUGGAGCAUAUUUGUUUCUCUCUGCCUGAUUUCUCCUGAAUUUGGAAACUAUUUUGCCAUGGUCUCCAUGAACUGAUUUUUUUGUGCAGUGGGCAGGAAGAACCCAUCGGGCAGCUACACAUCUUGAAAGAGAAGCUCUUCCUGUGAGGCAAGUAUUGUUCCUGUACAAAACAGGCUGCCGGGUGCCGUAUGGGAGCGCCGCCUCCAGGUGAGCCAUCCUGGGUUCCAGUCCAGCCUCUAUUCACUUCAGGAUCUGGAGUAUUACGGACCACGAGAGAUGCAGAAAUGGAGCACAGGCGGUGAGCCAAGGACACCCGAGGCUGAGUGCAGUUGCAUGAUCUCGGCUCACCACAACCUCUGCCUCCCGGAUUCAAGAGACUCUCCUGCCUCAGCCUCCCAAGUGGCUGGGAUUACGGUGUCUUGAUGGGAUGUCUCUCUUUGGCACCCUUUGGGAUAUGACUCUGAACUCUGCCUUCUGGCUGCAGUCCCCUCAACUCUGGAUGGAGCUCUAUUAUUUUUGUGUGGGGGUGGGGGCUUAUCUCCUGAGCCAGCCUCUGCUUGUCAGAACACACUCUUCCUGCAAGCAUGGUUUCCACGGGCCCCUGCUAUGGCAGCCACAGCCUCACAUCGUGAAGAACACACUCUUCCUGCAAGCACGGUUUCCACGCUCCCCUGCUGUGGCAGCCACAGCCUCACAUCAUGAGGAUGAUACGCAGCCAUUCAAGGGAUAACCUCUAAGGACAGCCUGGCAUGUCUGAACUCACUUCUCUUCCCACUGCCAGUUGAGCCUUGCCUUCUAGCUCAGUCAGCACUGGGAGACUAGGCUACUCAAUCUGGUGGUCUUUUGUUUCCAGCUCUCCCCAAUAUCCCUAUUGUGCAUUCCUCAUGCCCCAUACUCUCCUUGACUUCCCCU